AGAGGCUGCUGGUCCUGAACCUCAUUAGAGCCUCAGAUCUGACGGAUGUUUCCAUCACUUCCCCUCCUCUGGUCUCCUGUGGUCAUGUGACACAUGGCUGCUGUCACUCUGAUUGGCUGAGAGUCAGACAGGAAGAAGCAGCGACUGCAGGCUUUUAACUGGAACCUGAAGAUGGAAAAUAACAAAUAUAAUCAGUAGGCUCUUUUUGGAGGCUCCAGCUCUGGUAUCCUGACAGCCAGACAUUUCCCUGCAGCUGAUUGGCCGAUGGUUCCAGCUGACAUGCUGCUGCAGCUUUGGAUCCAUCAUGGCCUCCUGCAGCAGCUCCAGAUACCAGAACAACGUGUGAAGUGUUUCAAAGGGAAGCUGCAGCCGUCCGACGGCUGAAUUUAAUCCUGGAAUCUUGUGGAUAAGCUUAGACUGCUGGAGGAAGCACCUGCUGGCCGGUUCCAGCGUAAACACCGAGGAGUAGAGGAUGUCAUCCGGAGACAAUAAUCAGGGGUUUCCCAUCCAGCACCGUGUUUACAGGAACAGCUGCAGAACCAGGUACGCUGCUGGAGGCCUCACUGACCCCAGACCUGAGAUCUGAAGAAAGAAAGAAGAACAUCCUAAAAGAAUUGAGAACAUCCAGUCAGUCUGAUUUAUGCUCCUCUGAACCCAGUCAACCCUCGCGUCGUCCUGCGGGUCAGACUGACCCGUUUUAAAAUUUGAAAAUGUGGGAAAAUACAUAGAUUUUCACAGUGAAACCUUCCACCAUUUCAACAUUUUUGGGAAAUUUUUGAACAUUUUUUUGUGGAAAAAAAGAAAUGUUAAAAAAAAUGUUUCUUUAAGAACAUUCUGAAAAGAAAUCUACCAAAAUCCAGUGAAUUUCACUGGAUUUUGGUUGAUUUUUAUGUGAAUGUUCCAAAGAAAAUAUUAGAAGUUUUACUGAUAUAUAUGGAAUCACUUUAGAUAUUUUUAGGAUUUUUUUGGAAGAUUUUUACUCAUUUUUUGAAAACAUUUACAAUAGUUUUUUUUUUUUUUUUUUUUAAAUUUCGUACCAAAUUUGGGGUUUAAGAAAAAACUUUUAAGGGAAAUGUUUAAGGAUUUUUUGGAAUUUUCUUCCUGAUGAUUUAGCAAUUUUUUAUAAAUUUGGGGAAUUUUUUUUUGCUAAAUUUUUGGAUUUUUUUCAGAGAAAGGAACAAUAUUUUUUGGUGCCCGUAAAUGAAGACAUCAGGAGAGUUAAGAUCAGAAACUAACUCAUAGAGACUCACUCUGCCUUCUGACAGCAUCAAUCAUUAUUUUACACACAUUUUAAAUCACUCUAGUUCAGUUUAUUUAAAGUCAUUGUUUAAUCAUUCUGACAUGUUUUUAAUCAUUUUAGACACAUUUAGAUCAUUUUUGGACACAUUUAGAUCAUUUUGGACAUUUUAAUCAUUUUUCGACAUUUAAAUCAUUUUGGACAUACUUUAAUCAUUUUUGGAUACAUUUAGAUCAUUUUUGACAUAUUUUAAUCAUUUUUGGACACAUUUAGAUCAUUUUUGACAUAUUUUAAUCAUUUUUGGACACAUUUAGAUCAUUCUGGACAAAUGACACAAGAAGAAGCACAAGAAUAUCCUGAACUGACAAACAUGAAGAACUGAGCUCAUGUGAGGCUGCAGGAUCACACAUGUAUGUAUUCUAUACACACAUGUGGUCAUCAUGUGUGUAAACAUGCAGGAAACGGUGGAUUAACGUCGGACGCAGCUGCAGCAGGAAAGUGAAGCUGGUGGGUCCAUCAGGGAGCUCGAUUGUUCCAGUUUAUUGACGAUCACUUUGUGUUUUCAGGGUGAAUGCGGAGUUUCUCAGUGAGACGGAGGACAGGAGCUGUUCCCACACAGACAGGAAGUCCAACUGGAGGACCAGAACGAGUAAAGUGCUGAGCUCAUGUGAGCUCAUUUAGAAGGAAAUACAUCUUCAGCAGCAGGUCAGUGCUGGAGGCUGCAGGAGGAGCUGCUCUACUCUCCUUCAUAUCCAGGUUAAAAACAUCUGAGGCUCCAACAGGAGAAGGAAGAAGAUUAAAGAAAGUUCUGAUCCACUGAUCUGGUCUCAGUGUUUCUACAACAUCUGGUUUCUGCUCACAUGGUGGAUGUUUGGAACUUUUACUGAGAUUAGUGAGAGGUUUAGAGGAAAAAUCUGCUCACAACUCAGAGAAUAAAACACUGGAACGCCUUCAGAGGAGUCAUAGGAGUCUUGGUGGCCUCCCUCUCUAGUCUCUUUCUCCUUCAGAGGAGUCAUAGGAGUCUUGGUGGCCUCCCUCUCUAGUCUCUUUCUCCUUCAGAGGAGUCAUAGGAGUCUUCGUGGCCUCCCUCUCUAAUCUCUCAGGUCUUGAGAAUGUCCUGCUCUAGUCAGAUUUAUUCAUGUUCUAUCUUCCUUCCAUUUCUUAAUGAUGGAUUUAACUGGACUCCAGGAGGUCUUCAGGAACUUUAAAUGUUCUUGUAUCGUCCUCACUGAUGCUUUUCAACAACUUUUUGUGAGAGUUUCUUGGUUCUUCAGUCUUCAUGGUGUAGAUCUAUCCAGGAGUUCUGAUCCACCAGAGACUGGACCUUCAGAUCCAGGAGUCUUUAUCCUCCAAUCACUGACCUCAGAUCAGCCAUGAAUGACUUCUGGACCAACUGGCUGCAGCUCAGUUCCAUCAGAGUCACAUUAACCCUUGUGUCGUCCUGCGGGUCAAAUUGACCCGUUUUAAAGUUUGAAAAUGUUCAGUUCAUUUGAGUUCAGUUCAGUUUAUUUGCCAUUUGCAGUAUAAAACCACAUUGGAAAGAGGUGCAAGAAGUUCAAAAUGCAUAUUGUCAACAUCUAAAAACAACAAAUACAGAAGAAAAUAGGACAGUAAAAAGAACAGAUGCCACAUAAAAAACUUAAAAAUAAAUACUAAGAUCCAAUAAAUAGUUCAUAAGAAAAUAAAAAAACAUGUUAGAAUCAAGGUGCAUUAUUUAAAAUCAUCACAGCUUGUGGGAAGAAGCUCUUACAAUGACGAGACGUGGUGCACUUAAUUGACCGAUAUCUUUUCCCUGAGGGCAGGACUUCAAACAUGGCCCUGGCAGGAUGGCCUGAAGAAUCAUUUACUAUCUGUAAAGCCCGGUGUAAAAGUCUCACUUUAUAUGUGGCCUCCAGGAGCAGCAAAGUGCAGCUGAUGGUCCUUCUGCUUCUGGCUGAGCGAACCACUUUGUCCAGAACCUUCUUUUCUUUCAGAGUGAGAUUACCAAACCACACAAUAGAAGAGCUGGUUGCACACCUUCAAUUGCACAAUAAUAAAAGUUUAAAAGAAUCUUUGUGUUUUGGGUAAAUUUUCUAAGUUUACACAAAAAGGAGAGGCGUUGUUUUGCCUUCUUAGCAAUGCUGGUAGUAUUUAGGUUCCAACUGAGGUCAUUUGAAAGAGUGACACCCAAGAAUUUACAAUUUUCAACAAUCUGCACCUGAGUGUCCUGAAUUGUGAUGGGCAAAAAUAUAUAUGGAAAAAAUAUAUAUAUUUUCACAGUGAAACUUCUGAUGUCCACAUUUUCAACAUUUUUGGGAAAUCUUUGAACAUUUUUGGUGGAA
ensembl:lncRNA